UCAAAAUCAAUAUUUACGAAUCAUAAAGCAGUUAAGAUAGAUACAUAGUAUAUUCUAUUUCACCUCCCAUCUCCCGCGUUAUUUUGUUUAAUUACCAUCCAACCAUCUGAUUUCUUUUACUCUCGCGGAUGGGGCGGUCACCAAAAUCCAAAGCCGGAAGCUCCGGAUCGAAGAAGGCGAGCGGAGAGGAGAGAGGACGACGCGACCUGGUCGGCCGGCGACGGGAAGAGGAAGACGCGGGCAUCGACGGUGUGGUUCUACUACUGUGACCGGAAUUCGACGACGAGACGAUCCUCCUCCAGCUCCAGUAGGCCAAGCACUUCGAGUGCCAUGUCUGCCACAAGAAGCUCUCCACCGCCGGCGGAAUGGCCGACCAUGUCCUCCGAGGAGACCGUCACCAGAGUUCAUGAUGCUAAGCUUUUGAGAGAAUCAACAAAAAGUGAGAUCUACGGCAUGCAAGAAAUGCCUCCUGAUUUCUCAUCAUCUCGCUAUGCAGAAGGUAAUAUUUCUUACAUGUGCUUCCUUUCUGAUAACUUAACAAAAUGGUCAACACAUGUAGAUAGUUGUUUAUGAUAACUCAAUGAAAUUGUCAACACGUGUAGAUAGUUGUUUAUUAUGAUGUUUCCUAGUUUAUAUAUUAUUGCUAGUUUGUGCUCAAAAUACUGUAUUCCUCAGUUCGACACAUCUUUAUUGAAUGAUUUCUUGAUGUUAAAAGUUUUUCUUUUCGAUAUCUUCAUCAUGAGGGGUAUUAUUUUGAUUUGCCAUUUUCUUCAUAUUAAGGGUCCUGCAUGCUUGUAUCCCACAUACUAAAGGCACCCACCCGAGACUUUCUCUUUGUAGUACUUUCUAUUAUCCUUUAGUAAUGCACUUAGUUUAACUUUAUUCACUCUACUAUUGCUUGUAUAUCGGAGAGCUGAAUUGAAUGCUCCCAAGUUUGAAGACAAUAAAUUUCAAACUCAAUCCUAUCAAAUUUCAAGAAAAUGAUUCAUAUCUUGAGAUAAUUAUGAAAAUUCAAAACCAUCAAAGUACAAUGCGCUAUGAAUUUAAUAUGUAUUGUAAUUUAUGUUUGACUUUUAAUAAAUUGUGACUCAUUAAUUCGUUGGUUGAGGGAUUCAAUGUACAAGGGAUCUAUAAAAGGGGAAGGAAGGAAGAUUGAUGGGGCAUUCUUGUUUUUGAAACAUUAUCAAACUUUUAUAUUUUGAGCUACUAGCUCGUAGUUAUCUCUUUGAAAAAGAGAGAGUUUUCUUUUGUUCUCCCAUAUCUGAUUUCUUUUUUUCAUCCUCUUCUUCUCUCUUCAUCUUGUUUUACAUCAUUUGGUAUCAGAGUCUUACUACGCUCUUGGAGUACUUCCUUCUUAUGGCAACUAGAAGGGGUAGACGGCAGCGACGCGAUGAAAGAAUAAUGCAACUAGAUAGAGAUGAAUGGGAUGCAUAAAUUGAAGCACUAAGGAGACAAGUUGAAGAGCUUACUAUACGCUUUGAACGUCAAGAAACCCAUGGCUCUAGACGCUCAAACUAUGGUUAUGCAAGUGACGGAUUUGAAGACAUGAAUCCCUUUGCAUCCAAAGAAGCUAUAGGAGACUCAUCCAUUGAGAGGUUUUUUUCGUACAAAUGAUAAUAUCAAAAUUGACUUGUCGGAGUUCCAUGGUCGACUUCAACCUGAAGAAUUUCUUAAUUGGCUUAGUACCGUUGAGAAAUUCUUUGAGUACAAGAAGAUACCGAAGAUUGAAAAGUAAAAUUAAUUGCUAUAAGGCUUCGAGGUUACGCCUCAACUUGGUGGGACAAGGUGCAAGAGAUGCUCCUUCGGAAAAGGGAAGAUGAAGAUUUCAUCUUGGGAGAAGAUGAAAUUCGGCUCCAUGAGAAUUUUCUUCCAUCUUAUUAUGUUCAAACUUUCUUUUCACAAUUUAACAAUCUUUAGCAAGGUAGCAAAAUCGUCAUCAACUACACUGAAGAAUUCUACAAGUUGAUGAUCCAAAAUAACACUCAAGAGACAAAAGAACAACUUGUUGCAAGAUAUGUCGGCGGCCUACGAAUUAUGAUUCGAGAUGAAGUGGAGAUGCAACGAGUAUGAAAGUUAUCUAAUGCUUAUCAAUUAAUGCUAAAAGUUGAAGCAAAACUUGUUAAAAGUGGAGCAAAGAGGUAUUCUAAUGUUCCUUUACAUUCCUCUUCUAAAGCUGACUCUACUCGUUAUAAUGUUAGUGGAUCAAAAGCUAGCAAAAUCAUGAAAAAUGCAUCCAAACUAACUCCUACCAAUCGUGGAGGAUAAUCUAGUCGCACCAGUCACCUGCCUACUUGCUUUAAAUGCAAACAAGUAGAACACUACAUGAACAAGUGCCCAAAUAGACAAGCUAAUACACGAGUUAACUUUGUCGAAAAAGAAGAUGCCAAUGAACAACUUAAAGAUAUUGGAAAACCAAUAUAUAAUGAAUGCCACGUGGAGGCUUAUGAAGAACUUGCACCACCCGAAGAAGGUGAGUGCUUGGUAAUCCAUAGAGCGCUUGCUACUCCAAGAGAUGAUUCUAAUGAAGAAUAGUUACAAAAUAAUAUUUUCAGGACACGUUGCAAGUCUCAAGACAAAGUUUGUUCUCUUGUUAUUGAUAGUGAUAGUUGUGAGAAUAUUGUCUUAAGAUAUGGUAGACAAGCUAAAGCUCAAGAUAGAACUACAUCCUAAACCAUAUUGGAUUGCAUGGUUCAACAAAGACAAUGAGGUACGAGAUACUAAUCGCUGCCUAUUUUCUUUUUCAACGGAAAAAAAUUAUAAAGAUAAUGUGUGGUGUGAUGUAGUACCAAUGGAUAUUAGCCAUAUACUCUUGGGAAGACCAUGGCAAUAUGAUAGGUGUACUAUCUAUGAUAGUAGAAAGAACACCUAUACUUUUAAAUUCAAUGGAGUUAGAAUUGUGCUUUUGCCAUGCAAAGAAGAGUUUGCUCCCAAACCUUUACAAGAGAGCGAAGAAAGUGGAGUUGUAUUUAUAUUAGUUGCUAAAGAAUGCAUGCAGCCUAUGGAAAUUCUUGGUGAAGUAGAAGCUAUUGUGGAGGAAUUCAAAUACAUAUGUUCUGAAGAACUUCCUAGUGGCCUACCUCCUCUUCAAGACAUUCAACAUCAAUUCGAUCUAAUUCUAGGAGCAAUCUUGCCAAACAAAUCUCACUAUCGGAUGAGUCCAAAAGAACAUGAAGAGUUGAAUAGAAUAGUUAUGGAUCUACUACACAAGGGUUAUAUUCGAGAAAGUUUAAGUCCGUGCAUCAUUCCAGCUCUAUUGACUCUAAAGAAGGAUGGAACUUGGUAAAUGUGUGUCGACAGUCGAGUUAUCAAUCGGAUUACCAUAAAGUACAUAUUUCUUAUUCCAUGUUUGGAGGUUAUGUUUGAUAUGCUUGUUGCUACUCAAAUUUUCUCUAAAAUUGAUCUACAAAGCGAUUAUCACCAAAUCGAUAUUAAACCAAGAGAUGAAUGGAAAACUGAUUUCAAGACUCGAGAAGGUUUAUAUGAAUGACUAGUUAUGUCAUUUGGACUUUCAAAUGUCCCGAGCACCUUCAUGCGGGUAAUGAAUCAAAUUCUACAUCCUUAUAUUGGGAAGUUUGUUGUUGUUUACUUUGAUGAUAUUGUUAUUUAUAAUCGUAACAAACUUGAUCGUAUUGAACAUUCGAGAACUAUUCUAUCAAUAUUGAAGGCAGAAAAGCUAUAUGUAAAUCUUAAGAAGUGUUCCUUCAUGACCUCUAGCUUAGCUUUCCUAGGCUUUAUCUUAACCCCUAUAGGUAUCCAAGUGGAUUUUGAGAAGAUUAAACUUAUCCAGACUUAGCCAACAACAAUAUCUUUAUAAGAUAUUUGGAGUUUUCAUGGGUUGGCAUCGUUUUAACGUCGAUUUAUUCGGAAUUUUAGCACUAUUAUAGUUCCUCUGACUGAUUGCAUAAAGAAAGAAGUGUUUUAAUGAAUACAUGAGGCAAACAACAAAUUUGAACUAUUAAAGGUGAAAUUAUCCACUAUUCCUGUUCUUUCAUUAUUGAAUUUUUCUAAAAUAUUUGAAAUUGAUUGUGAUGCCUCUCAUGUGGGUGGAGCACUUAGCCAGGAAGGACAUCCACUUGCAUUCUUUAGUAAAAAGCUUAACAAUUCAAGAAAGAACUAUUCAACCUAUGAUAUUGAAUUUUAUGCUAUUAUUCAAGCACUACGACAUUGGAGACCUUUUUUGAUCCAACAAGAAUUUAUCUUAAAUUCUGAUCAUGAAGCUUUUAAACAUAUAAAUUCUCAAGCAAAUCUCAAUAGGUGACAUGCAAGAUGGGUGGUAUUUUUACAAGAGUGUACUUUUGUCUUGAAGUAUAAUGAUGGAAUGUGUAAUAAGGUUGCAUAUGCACUCAGUUGGCAAUUAGCGCUUCUUAAUACUAUGCGAGCCCAACUAAAAGGAUUUAAUGAAAUAAGAAAUACUUUAAUGAUGAAGAUUUUGGAAAAUUAUGGAAGUUAUGCACGAAGAGUCAUCAUGAAGAUUAUGUUAUUGAAGAUGGUUUUCUCUUUCGUGGAACUCAACUUUAUAUUCCUAAAUAUUCUCUAAGAGAGUAUGUUAUCCAAAAACUACAUUCUGGUGGAUUAGAAGGUCAUUUUGGGAGAGACAAAA